CAAUUUCCAGGAACUUGGCAAGUGUCCACCUGUUCCACUCUGUGUGAUAUCGGAGGGAUAGUGUCUUCCUUCCUACUCUUCAGGCUGGCUGCCAUCUGGUUAGAGCUUCCACUCAUAGUCUUCGGAACGCUCGCAUUCAUAGCCGGAGCCUUGGUGUUGUUGUUGCCUGAGACCCAAGGAGUUCCUCUGCCCGAGACCAUUGAUGACAUUGAAUUUCCAAAAAGAAAAAAAGAGGAUCCAAAGGCAAACCAACAACUGAAGGAGCUUUUAAAGUGUGACGAUGCAAACAAGGAGACGACUGUGUGAUUGUGUUUUUUU